UGAGUCAGUGGUGAUGAAAGGUGGUGGAUGGAUCAGGGACAGUGAGGACUGUGUGUCUGGAUACCGAGGCCCAA
ensembl:snoRNA